rnacentral:sRNA from 1 species
CUUCCUGUCUUGUUCGAUCAUGGCGUAAGUUGAGUGGGUAAACAGAGUGUUGACAAGCGUUUCACAUUGGGACAACGACCUGAGUUCAUUGGCUUGUUUAGUAAGAACACAAAGAGAAGUCCAACAUUCAGCCGAGAAAGCCACAGAAACAGAAUGCUCCUAGCAUGCUUUGUCUCAGAACUGAAAUGUCAAUAAAUGACUGAAUGCCGCCCGUACCAGCGGCGAUCAGCCUUCACAUACAUGGCCCAGAGGUCUCCAGACCAGAGAGCCUCCUAUGAAACAGAAGAGGAACUUCAGUA